rnacentral:rRNA from 1 species
GAUGAACGCUGGCGGCGUGCCUAAUACAUGCAAGUCGAGCGAACAGACGAGGAGCUUGCUCCACUGACGUUAGCGGCGGACGGGUGAGUAACGCGUGGAUAACCUACCUAUGAGCCUGGGAUAACUUCGGGAAACCGGAGCUAAUACCGGAUAAUAUCUUGAACCACAUGGUUCAAUAGUGAAAGACGCUUUUGCUUUCCCUUAUAGUUAGCUCGGCUCCGCAUUAGCUAGUUGGUAAGGUAACGGCUUACCAAGGCAACGAUGCUUAGCCGACCUGGGAGGGGGAUCGGCCACACUGGACCUGAGACACAGUCCAGACUCCUACGGGAGGCAGCAGAAGGGAAUCUUCCGCAAUGGGCGAAAGCCUGACGGAGCAACGCCGCGUGAGUGAUGAAGGUCUCCGGAUCGUAAAACUCGGUUAUUAGGGAAGAAGAAAUGGGGAAGUAACUAUGCACGUAUUGACGGUAACUAAUCAGAAAGCCACGGCUAACUACGUG